rnacentral:rRNA from 1 species
UACGAAGGGGGCUAGCGUUGUUCGGAAUUACUGGGCGUAAAGGGCGCGCAGGCGGCCUUUGAAGUCGGGCGUGAAAGCCCCGGGCUCAACCCGGGAAUGGCGCUCGAUACUCUUGGGCUCGAGUUCGGGAGAGGAGGGUGGAAUUCCCAGUGUAGAGGUGAAAUUCGUAGAUAUUGGGAAGAACACCGGUGGCGAAGGCGGCUCUCUGGACCGAUACUGACGCUGAGGCGCGAAAGCGUGGGGAGCAAACAGG